GUGCUGAGAGAAUACUUAGUUCAAACCAGAACCUGCUUCUAUAUUUGCUUUCAAAGUCAAAAUUUUCAGUCUCUGCCUUGCCUGGAACUGCUACCCAGUAGGGCUUCCACUCCUGAGGAGCAAAGGAAGGAAAUAGAAUUCUGGGAGGGAAAUAAGGAUGAAGAAAUUAAGUGAACCCAAUUCCAUGUCAGGCUGAUUCAACUGAAACCUAGGUCAUGAUGCCAACCUCUAAGCUGAUAAAUGCCAUCUCACUAGAGAAGUGGAUUGAGGCUAGAAGGAACUUCCAUAAUCAAUGUG